GUCUGACAGCACACACACAGAGCAUAUGGAAGGAUACAGAGAAGAUUAGCAUGGCCCCUGUGGAACGAUGACACAGACAUCUAUGAUGCAUCAUUCCAUAUUUUU
ensembl:snRNA LOC120099411 U6 spliceosomal RNA